rnacentral:rRNA from 1 species
AGAGUUUGAUCAUGGCUCAGAUUGAACGCUGGCGGCAGGCUUAACACAUGCAAGUCGAGCGGGGAAAGGUAGCUUGCUACCUUACCUAGCGGCGGACGGGUGAGUAAUGCUUAGGAAUCUGCCUAUUAGUGGGGGACAACAUUUCGAAAGGAAUGCUAAUACCGCAUACGCCCUACGGGGGAAAGCAGGGGACCUUCGGGCCUUGCGCUAAUAGAUGAGCCUAAGUCGGAUUAGCUAGUUGGUGGGGUAAAGGCCUACCAAGGCGACGAUCUGUAGCGGGUCUGAGAGGAUGAUCCGCCACACUGGGACUGAGACACGGCCCAGACUCCUACGGAUGCCGCGUGUGUGAAGAAGGCCUUUUGGUUGUAAAGCACUUUAAGCGAGGAGGAGGCUACCGAGAUUAAUACUCUUGGAUAGUGGACGUUACUCGCAGAAUAAGCACCGGCUAACUCUGUGCCAGCAGCCGCGGUAAUAC